GUGCUCACUUCGGCAGCACAUAUACUAAGAUUGGAACGACACAGAGAAGAUUAGCGUUGCCCCUGAGCAAGGAUAACACACAAAUUUGUGAAUCACUCCAUAUUUUA